rnacentral:tRNA from 1 species
GCCGAGGUAGCUCAGUUGGUAGAGCAUUCGCCUGAAGAGCGAGGGGUCACCAGUUCAAGCCUGGUCCUCGGCA